CUACGGGUUGCUGCAGUGAGGAAUAUUGCACAAUGGAGGAAACUCUGAUGCAGCAACGCCGCGUGGAGGAUGACGCAUUUCGGUGUGUAAACUCCUUUUAUAUGUCAAGAAAAUGACGGUAGCAUAUGAAUAAGCACCGGCUAACUCCGUGCCAGCAGCCGCGGUAAUACGGAGGGUGCAAGCGUUACUCGGAAUCACUGGGCGUAAAGGACGCGUAGGCGGGAUAUCAAGUCAGGUGUGAAAUCCUACAGCUUAACUGUAGAACUGCACUUGAAACUGGUAACCUAGAGUAUGGGAGGGGGAGACGGAAUUAGUGGUGUAGGGGUAAAAUCCGUAGAUAUCACUAGGAAUACCUAAAGCGAAGGCGAUCUCCUGGAACAUAACUGACGCUAAGGCGUGAAAGCGUGGGGAGCAAACAGGAUUAGAUACCCUCGUAGUC
rnacentral:rRNA from 1 species